AUCCUGGAAGAGUAAUUGCUGACCUUAUUCACCGGCAGUGGGCCUUAUGGCACAGUGAAUCACCAGGUUAGAGACACGU
rnacentral:snoRNA from 1 species